rnacentral:tRNA from 1 species
CGCGGUGUAGCUCAGACAGUAGAGCGCCGGGUUCAUACCCCGAAAGUCGAGGAUGCGAGCGCCUCCACCGCAACCA